UUACAAUGGAGAGUUUGAUCCUGGCUCAGGAUGAACGCUGGCUACAGGCUUAACACAUGCAAGUCGAGGGGCAUCAUGCGGGUUGCUUGCAACCUGUGAUGGCGACCGGCGGAUGGGUGAGUAACGCGUAUCCAACCUUCCCUUAACCGGGGCAUAACCUGCCGAAAGGCAGACUAAUUCCCCAUGCACUCCACAGACGGCAUCAGACGCGGAGUAAAGGCAACGGUUAUGGAUGGGGAUGCGUCCGAUUAGCUUGACGGCGGGGCAACGGCCCACCGUGGCUACGAUCGGUAGGGGUUCUGAGAGGAAGGUCCCCCACAUUGGAACUGAGA
rnacentral:rRNA from 1 species